UACGUAGGGGGCAAGCGUUGUCCGGAUUUAUUGGGCGUAAAGAGCGUGUAGGCGGCCAGACAGGUCCGUUGUGAAAACUCGAGGCUCAACCUCGAGAUGUCGAUGGAAACCGUCGGGCUAGAGUCCGGAAGAGGAGUGUGGAAUUCCUGGUGUAGCGGUGAAAUGCGCAGAUAUCAGGAAGAACACCUAUGGCGAAGGCAGCACUCUGGGACGGUACUGACGCUGAGACGCGAAAGCGUGGGGAGCGAACAGG
rnacentral:rRNA from 1 species